GCCCUUGUCCCAAAAUGGCUAAUCUUGGGGCUUUUGCGUCGGUUUCCUAAACCGUGCGUCGGGUGUUCGAAUCGCCUCCGGGGCACCA
rnacentral:tRNA from 1 species